rnacentral:lncRNA from 1 species
AUGGGGAACCUGUGUGGCUGCAUUCAAGGUGACUCGAAGAAGCCUUCCAAAAAGCGUGUGAAAAGGAAGCCCUACUCUACUACCAAGGUAAAAGGACCAUCUUCUCUGAUAGAGAAUAUAAGAAGAUAUGCUGUGCACACCAACCAGUGUAGGAGACCUCAUGGCUCCCGGGUAAAGAAGAAGAGGUACCCACAAGAAGAUGACUUCCAUCAUACAGUCUUCAGCAAUCUUGAAAGAUUGGACAAGCUUCAGCCCACUCUUGAAGCCUCUGAGGAGUCUCUAGUUCACAAGGACAGAGGAGAUGGAGAGAGGCCAGUCAACGCGAGGGUGGUGCAGGUGGCCCCUCUGAGGCUUGAAUCUACUCCCCAUGAGGACACCGUACAUGACAUCACUAACCAGGACGCCACACACGACAUCGCUAACGAGGAUACUGUCCACGGCAUCGCUAACGAGGCCGCCGACAAGGGCAUCGCCAACGAGGACGCCGCCCAGGGCAUCGCCAACGAGGACGCCGCCCACGGAAUCGCCAGCGAGGAUGCCGCCCAGGGCAUCGCCAACGAGGUCGCCGCCCAGGGCAUCGCCAACGAGGACGCCGCCCAGGGCAUCGCCAACGAGGACGCCGCCCAGGGCAUCGCCAAGGAGGACGCCGCCCACGGGAUCGCCAAGGAGGACGCCGCCCAGGGCAUCGCCAACGAGGACGCCGUCCACGGCAUCGCCAACGAGGACGCCACCCAUGGCAUCGCCAACGAGGACGCUGCCCACGGCAUUGCUAACGAGGAUGCCGUGCACGGCAUCGCUAAUGAGGACUCCGUAUACGACAUCGCUAAUGAGGGUGCCGUAUAUGACAUCGCUAAUGACACCGUACAAGGCACGCUAACGAGGACGCUGUACACGACAUCGCUAAUGAGGACACCAUACAAGGCAUCGGUAAUGAGGACGCUGUAUACGACAUCGCUAACGAGGACACCAUACAAGCCGUCGCUAACAAGGACACUGUACACAACAUCGCUAAUGACGGCACCGUACAAGACAUCACCAAUGAGGGCGCUUUAUACGACAUUGCUAAUGAUACCGACAAGGCACGCUAACGUGGACGCUGUACACGACAUUGCUAAUGAGGACAGCUUAGUGGACAUCGCUAAUUAUGACGCUGUAUACGACAUCGCUAAUGACACCGUACAAGGCACGCUAACAAGGAUGCUGACGCUGUACACAACAUCGCUAAUGAGGACACCAUAUAAGACAUCACCAAUGAGGAUGCUCUAUAUGACAUCGCUAAUGACACCCACAAGGCAUGCU